AACGAACGCUGGCGGUGCGUUUUAAGCAUGCAAGUUGAACGGGAUCCAAGUGCUUGCACUUGGUGAGAGUAGCGGACGGGUGAGUAACACGUAGGUAAUCUACCCUUGUGUUGGGGAUAGCUCAUGGAAACAUGGGGUAAUACCGAAUACGAUUAACGGGACACAAGUUCUGUUAAGGAAAGGCGCCUUAAAGCGUCGCACAAGGAGGAGCCUGCGGCAGAUUAGCUAGUUGGUGGGGUAAAGGCCUACCAAGGCAACGAUCUGUAGCCGGCCUGAGAGGGUGAACGGCCACACUGGGACUGAGAACGGCCCAGACUCCUACGGGAGGCAGCAGCUAAGAAUCUUCCGCAAUGGACGAAAGUCUGACGGAGCGACACCGCGUGAAUGAUGAAGGCAGAGAUGUUGUAAAAUUCUUUUACCAGGGAGGAAUAAGGUAGGUAGGAAAUGAUCUGCUGAUGACGUUAUCUGGUGAAUAAGCCCCGGCUAAUUACGUACCAGCAGCCGCGGUAACACGUAAGGGGCAAGCGUUGUUCGGAAUUAUUGGGCGUAAAGGGUGCGCAGGCGGAUUUCCAAGUCUGAUGUAAAAGGUGUGAGCUUAACUUGCACAGGCGUUGGAAACUGGAAAUCUGGAAUGGUUGAGGGGUAGCUGGAAUUCCUAGUGUAGAGGUAAAAUUUGUAGAUAUUAGGAAGAACACCGGAGGCGAAGGCGAGCUACUGGCAACCAAUUGACGCUGAGGCACGAAAGCGUGGGGAGCGAACAGG
rnacentral:rRNA from 1 species